GCACUGCUGAGGGGUUCCAUACCAGGACGAAACGGCCGUCCAGUGU
rfam:Schistosoma mattheei strain Denwood, Zambia genome assembly, scaffold: SMTD_scaffold0009509